rnacentral:misc_RNA from 1 species
GAUGAAGAACGUAGCGAAAUGCGAUAAGUAAUGUGAAUUGCAGAUUUCAGUGAAUCAUCGAAUCUUUGAACGCACCUUGCGCCUUGUGGUAUUCCACAAGGCAUGCCCGUUUGAGUAUCAUUAAAUCAUCAACUUCAAAACCUUUGUGUUUUUGAAGCUUGGUCUUGAGGGUUUUGCAGGCCGCAUUUUUGUAGUCUGCUCCCUUUAAAUGCAUUAGCGAGACUUCCCUGUGCUGAACCGUCUCUUGACGUGAUAAUUAUCUGCGUCGAAAUUUGGUUCUCGUUGGGCUUGCUUCUAAUAGUCCUUGGACAAACCGGAUUAGAGUGCAUAUAUGCGCUUUUUUAUUCCAAACCUCUUUUUGAUCUCAAAUCGGGUAGGACUACCCGCUGAACUUAAGCAUAUCAAUAAGCGGAGGA